UCAGACCCGUGGCAAAUAGCUCAGCAGCACGUGGCCAAUCUACCCUCCGGAUCAGCACACCCUCGGGAAACUGAGGCCAAUUCUGUAUACGGCUCCCGACCUGGAAUGGUGGGAGCCCGAAACGCUCCGGCGCCGGAGGAUGAGGCUGCGGCCGAUUAGGUUGACGGUGGGGUAAUGGCCCACCGUGCCGAUAAUCGGUCUGGGUCAUGAGAGUGAGAACCCAGAGACGGAAUCUGAGACAAGAUUCCGGGCCCUACGGGGCGCAGCAGGCGCGAAACCUUUACACUGCACGCCAGUGCGAUAAGGGGACCCCAAGUGCGCAGGCAUAGUGCCUGCGCUUUUCUGGACUGUAGGGCGGUCCAGGAACAAGGGCUGGGCAAGACCGGUGCCAGCCGCCGCGGUAAUACCGGCAGCCCGAGUGAUGGCCGAUCUUAUUGGGCCUAAAGCGUCCGUAGCUGGCUGCGCAAGUCCGUCGGGAAAUCCACUCGCCCAACGAGUGGGCGUCCGACGGAAACUGCACAGCUUGGGACCGGAAGGCUCGAAGGGUACGUUCGGGGUAGGAGUGAAAUCCCAUAAUCCCGCACGGACCACCGAUGGCGAAAGCACUUCGAGAAAACGGAUCCGACAGUGAGGGACGAAAGCCAGGGUCUCCAACCGGAUUAGAUACCCGGGUAGUCCUGGCCGUAAACAAUGUUCGCUAGGUAUGACACAGACUACGCGUCUCUGUUGUGCCGUAGGGAAGCCG
rnacentral:rRNA from 1 species